CUUUAUAUUUUGUAAGGUCCCUUUAAUUAACCAGUUCCAGAUGAUGACAUCAUCCUCCGGGAAGUGACAUCACUUUGAAGGGAAAACAACAGCACAAACAAUAGGCAGGGGUCUGCUGUCCAUCCAUCAUAACUCUUUAUUAAGAUGAUUAUGAAGAAGGCUCGAGGAAGAGGACGCUGUGUUUAGUCAACUAACACACACAGGCCUGAGGAUCCACUUCUCUGUCCGGUCUCAAAGCAAGGGCGAACGAUGAUUGGUCGCUGAACAUCAGAUGGUCUCCUUCUCUGAAUAAGGCGGAUGUCCAAGACCCCCCGAUUGAGCAUGACAACACUGCCCUCCCGACCUCCUCAUCCUCAACUAAAGCUUCUGCUUAACUCAAUUAAACUCGCAACUGCGUGGAGAGUCUGGGACGUAAGAAAAAAAGGCUGUUGCUGUGAUGGUUCAAUGAGCGGUGAGUUCUUCGGGUCUCCCAGCCGCUGUAACCUUCAGCAGCCGCUGCGCUGGGGGCACAGACAACAAUCCCAGGAUUCUGUGUGCUUUUGUCCGGAAAUAACUGACACAAACUGGGGGUCAGACGCUGAGCUCUGGAAUUUCGAUCAAAGACGUUGUCUGCUACAGCAGGUCAGACAUGACAUUUCUUCUGCUACAUUUUGAGAUGUGACACCAAUUCAACAGGUGAACCAUGGAUCAAGGUCGCUAUUAUAUACACGGAUUUUGUCUUAUUUGUAAUCAUCAUCAGGUGCUUUAAGACAAAGUGACAUUCACAGGCGAGUUUUUGAUUGGACAAAAAUAUAUUUGUAUAUCUGUUUUUAUGGCAUGAUUUGAUUCUGAGUUCACAGGUGAAAGUGUUUCUUUCUCAGCGCUCUAUGAUCCCAUGACCUCAGAUCUUCAUCUUUAAGUGCAAAUCCGUCAGUGAAUAUCCAGCUGGGCCUCUCUAGAUCCCAGCAGAUGUUCCUGUCUCUAGUCUUCUCCAUCCAGGGAUCUGCAGCUCCAAAUAUCUUUCUAGAUCUGCUCCAGAUUAUGGACUGAUGAAGACUUGUUCUGCUUGCACAAACUAUAUGUCCUUCUGACCUCAAAAGGUUUGCACCACAUAAUCAGCUCCAUAUAUGUUAUUUCAUGAUGUAGUGAACUUGCUCGUUGGCUCAGCAGAAUUGUAUUUGCAUGAGCCAUGUGACACACCAGUCACCUUGCUCUGUUCUGUAAUGCAUGUUUGUGACUCUCCGAUUUGAACUCGUUCAUCAAAAUGAACAAAUCUUUUCUGAGUCAGUUUGUUCGUUUUGUUCAUUGAAUAAACCAAAUGACUCAGAAAAAGAUUUGAACGAGUUCAAACAGGAGAGCAUCACAGA